rnacentral:lncRNA from 1 species
GGAUGGAACCUGCUUUUGUGAUAUGUGAGAUGUUCUCGAUGUGAAAUCGCUUGAUGAUUUUGUGAUUAAACCCCACGACUGCCUGUUUCUGAUUUUGCUCUGGAGCUCACUGAUAGCUCUGGAACUUGGGAUUUCUGAACACAUGGCCUUCAUCAUUGGGAAAGACUCAGUCUUACUAUGGAAUAUCUUGUGCUGCUUUACAGGACUCCUUACCAACCAGGUACUUCUGAUAAUUGACUGGCAAACCUGGUUUAUUCCAAAUAUUAGCUCAAUGUUCUCUCUCCCAGCUGCUUGGUGGCUGGCCCUUGACUAUGCACUGUUGAUUAUGGCAUUUGAAUGGACUGUCUUUACCCAAUCAUCUCCUUAGUAAAACCGAAAAGGGUUUCCAAUGGGGCAAGAAUAUAAUGUUGCAUUGCCCAAAAAUUCAGGGAAGGUGUGGUGGUGUGUGGGGCACUUUGACACCUGAAGAACUGCAACAAGAUUCUAGUCAUCUGGAAGAAAUGGAGCUUCCCAUUUGGAAGUGGUGAAAUGAAGACCUGAGGUCAAGGGCACUUAGGCAUGUUUUGGUCACUUCACAAUCUUCUGCUAUUUAUUUUGUUAAUUGACCCAAAGUUUGAUCCAAUGAUAUUUUUAGGAGCCAUAUGCUGGAUCAAAUCAAAUCUGUCAUCUUGUUCUAUCAGUUUCUAAUGAGUCACUAUUUCUGGUGCAGGGCUGGCAAAAAGCUGUCGUCUUGCCAUUCUUCUUUCCAGGUGUCAGGGCAGGCAUUGCCAAUUUGUUACAGUUCCUAGCUUUCCAAGGCCAGACUCAAUACCAGAGUCUAAACUUUGUGCUUCAGUAGUUAUUACCAAUUCAUCAGAGUUGGCAUACAAUUUGGGACCUAUUUGUCAAGCCUGGGUUAAUGGGAGAACAGUGACUCUUCUUUGUUGUAGCUGUCUAUGUGAACUUAGGCAGGCAUUAGUCUCUCUGAGCCUCGACCAUCAUCUACUAAGAGGUAUUACCUAACCCACAAGCUAGACCAAAUUCAUAUGCAUAUAAAAUGAGAUUUAUAUAAUAAAAAUAAGCCUCCUUUUCAAUCUAAGGAGAUAUUAUUUUUACUGAAAUGGACUAAUGUUUAGUAAAACCAUAGUUCAUUAAUCCAGCCACCCACAGUAGAUUCAUUGUUGCUUUCGUUCUUUGUUUCACUCCCCUGUGUCAAACCAGUUUUCGAGUCUUGUUGAUUUUGCCUUUAAGUAGCUCUUGAAUCUGCCUUUCUCGUCAGGCACACUGGGGUGGAGUCCAUGCCCUCCAUAUGAGCCUUUUAGAUAAUGAUCUCUCUGCCAUGCAUGCCCCCAGUUUCUGGUCUGUUCUCUACUACUCUAUGGCCAGGGUGGCCUCUUUAGAUGGACCACAUGCCUCCGCUGUUUACACCCCCGUGGGUCUCCCACACUCUCCGUGAUAAAGACUAGAAGUUCCCUGGCUGACACCUGUGGCCCUUCAUUUUCCACCUCCACCUUCUCUGCA